rnacentral:rRNA from 1 species
AUUGAACGCUGGCGGCAGGCCUAACACAUGCAAGUAGCACGAGUGGCGGACGGGUGAGUAAUGUCUGGGAAACUGCCCGAUGGAGGGGGAUAACUACUGGAAACGGUAGCUAAUACCGCAUACCAUCGGAUGUGCCCAGAUGGGAUUAUCUAGUAGGUGGGGUAACGGCUCACCUAGGCGACGGUCCCUAGCUGGUCUGAGAGGAUGACCAGCCACACUGUAACUGAGACACGGUCCAGAUGCCUACGGGAGGCAGCAGUGGGGAAUAUGGAACAAUGGGCGAAAGCCUGAUGCAGCCAUGCCGCGUGUAUGAAGAAGGCCUUCGGGUUGUAAAGUACUUUCAGCGAGGAGGCGUUACUCGCAGAAGAAGCACCGGCUAACUCCGUGCCAGCAGCCGCGGUAAUUC